rnacentral:rRNA from 1 species
GACUUGAGUACUACAGGGGAGACUGGAAUUUCUGGUGUAGCGGUGGAAUGCACAGAUAUCAGGAAGAACACCGAUGGCGAAGGCAGGUCUCUGGGUAGUAACUGACGCUGAGGAGCGAAAGCAUGGGUAGCGAACAGGAUUAGAUACCCUGGUAGUCCAUGCCGUAAACGGUGGGCGCUAGGUGUGGGGUUCCUUCCACGGGCUCCGUGCCGUAGCUAACGCAUUAAGCGCCCCGCCUGGGGAGUACGGCCGCAAGGCUAAAACUCAAAGAAAUUGACGGGGGCCCGCACAAGCGGCGGAGCAUGUGGAUUAAUUCGAUGCAACGCGAAGAACCUUACCUGGGCUUGACAUAUAGAGGAUCGCUGCAGAGAUGUGGUUUCCCUUGUGGCUUCUAUACAGGUGGUGCAUGGUUGUCGUCAGCUCGUGUCGUGAGAUGUUGGGUUAAGUCCCGCAACGAGCGCAACCCUUGUCUUAUGUUGCCAGCACGUUAUGGUGGGGACUCGUGAGAGACUGCCGGGGUCAACUCGGAGGAAGGUGGGGAUGACGUCAAAUCAUCAUGCCCCUUAUGUCCAGGGCUUCACACAUGCUACAAUGGCCGGUACAGAGGGCUGCGAUGCUGUAAAGCGGAGCGAAUCUCUUAAAGCCGGUCUCAGUUCGGAUUGGGGUCUGCAACUCGACCCCAUGAAGUCGGAGUCGCUAGUAAUCGCAGAUCAGCAACGCUGCGGUGAAUACGUUCCCGGGCCUUGUACACACCGCCCGUCAAGUCAUGAAAGUCGGUAACACCCGAAGCCGGUGGCCUAACCCUUGUGGAGGGAGCCGUCGAAGGUGGGAUUGGCGAUUGGGACGAAGUCGUAACAAGGUAGCCGUACCGGAAGGUGCGGCUG